rnacentral:misc_RNA from 1 species
GAUUAAGAACGUAGCGAAAUGCGAUACUUGGUGUGAAUUGCAGAAUCCCGUGAACCAUCGAGUCUUUGAACGCAAGUUGCGCCCGAAGCCACUAGGCCGAGGGCACGCCUGCCUGGGCGUCACACGCCGUUGCCCCCCCAUCUACUCCUUCGGGAUUGCGGGGGGGCGGAUGAUGGCCUCCUGUGCGCCUAGCCGCGCGGUCGGCAUAAAUACCAAGUCCUCGGCGACGCACGCCACGACAAUCGGUGGUUGCGAAACCUCGGUUGCCCGUCGUGUGCGUUCGUCGCGCAUCGAGGGCUCGAAAAAAUGCUCGGCUCCGGCUGGGCUUUCAACGCGACCCCAGGUCAGGCGGGGUUACCCGCUGAAUUUAAGCAUAUCAAUAAGCGGAGGA